rnacentral:sRNA from 1 species
GACUCAGAAAGAACCCACCAUGGUGCUGUCUCCUGCCGACAAGACCAACGUCAAGGCCGCCUGGGGUAAGGUCGGCGCGCACGCUGGCGAGUAUGGUGCGGAGGCCCUGGAGAGGUGAGGCUCCCUCCCCUGCUCCGACCCGGGCUCCUCGCCCGCCCUGACCCACAGGCCACCCUCAGCGGUCCUGGCCCCGGCCCCAAACCCCACCCCUCACUCUGCUUCUCCCCGCAGGAUGUUCCUGUCCUUCCCCACCACCAAGACCUACUUCCCCCACUUCGACCUGAGCCACGGCUCUGCCCAGGUUAAGGGCCACGGCAAGAAGGUGGCCGACGCGCUGACCAACGCCGUGGCGCACGUGGACGACAUGCCCAACGCGCUGUCCGCCCUGAGCGACCUGCACGCGCACAAGCUUCGGGUGGACCCGGUCAACUUCAAGCUCCUAAGCCACUGCCUGCUGGUGACCCUGGCCGCCCACCUCCCCGCCGAGUUCACCCCUGCGGUGCACGCCUCCCUGGACAAGUUCCUGGCUUCUGUGAGCACCGUGCUGACCUCCAAAUACCGUUAAGCUGGAGCCUCGGUGGCCAUGCUUCUUGCCCCUUGGGCCUCUCGCCAGGCCCUCCUCUCCUUCCUGCACCUGUACCCCCCCUGGUCUUUGAAUAAAGUCUGAGUGGGCGG